rnacentral:lncRNA from 1 species
CCAGAGAGGGCUAUUCUGGGAGGGAAUGCAUGGUUCACAGCCCCCAGGCAAGUGAGCUGGAGUGACAGUGGAUAUUGUCUGAGUGCCAAGGCAGGGGCCAUAUCCCAUUUUUCUAAAUAUCCGUCACAUCUCACCUAGUGCCUACCACCGAAACCCAGGGUGUAUUUUUUGAGUGAAUGAAUUAAUUCCAAAAUUAAAGACAUCCUCUAAUUGUUCAGCAUUUUAUUUUUCUGCACGGAGUUCUCAGUAGUCACAGAGACUGCUUCCUUCUUCCAGCUGUCAACACCACCAGGUCUAUUAUGAGCAUGGCUAUCUGACCUUUCACACUAUCCACCUUUCACUCACCUCCAGGGAUAGAUCCACCUUUCACUCACCUCCAGGGAUAGAUCCAUGCAGAGGGCUGCAGCUUCUGUGUACUUGUGUAUUUUUUUUCCGAGUAGAUUUUAUAAAUUCAAAAUAUGUGAUUUGAAUUAGAUAUUUAAUAAAGCAAUAAUAUUAGCUCUCUUUCUUGCCCUGCUGCAUCUAAUGAUAAUGAUUUGAGAUUAUUUUCAUAUGGGAAUAGAUUUCUAAUAUCAUUAUUGGGGUUAAAAGUUGCUCUUUGUCUUUUUGUAGGUGAUUCCGUAUAUAGAUCAUGGAACAUUAACCAUGGAAAGCGCUCUGUAGGGAUAAACAUGUGAAUGCAAUCACAGUCAAAUUAUGAGGACCUAAGUAGGCAUGUAUACAAUCAACCUACAAGGGAGAUACUGCGUUCUGUCUACAGGAGGCUUCAAGGGACCAGAUAACUUGCAAAGAAUAUGGUUUGUAGUGAUGGAAAAACGAUGCAAAUCCGGGCGUCCAAACCGUGGCACUGAGCUCAAACAUGCUAUAUGGUUAACAGAAUCCUUGAAAGCCUAUUGUUCUCGUAGAGGUAGAUCUGGGAUUUCCUCUGACUUAAGCUAUGCCUUCUCACUUGUCCUGGGACACUCAUGUUUCCUGGGUGUGGUUGUGCAGUGGAGUGAGUCACUUGAUCCACACUCAUCACAUCCUUGGUCUUCAUCAUGGCCCCCAGCUUACUGCUAAGACGUGAGAAGGUAAUUCUCUUCUGAUUCAUGCACGGAAUAACUUGAGAUUAAUAUUACAGUGUUUUUUAUAUCAAAUUUCCUUCCUCAACUGACAGAACUAUAUAACUUCCAUAGCCCCCAAAUCAUAAUGAAUACCCAUUAUUUUGUGACUGAGAAUUAUUUCUGAAGCUUUAUCACAAUCCCAGAAAGACCUUCUCAGAUGAUGUUUUAGAAAAACGUAGCCUCUGCUUCUCAAGCUAUGUUUUCAGAAGGUUAAUUAUCUCAAAUUAAAACUUACUGAGGGGACGGGCAUUGUAGUGCAGUGGUUUAAGCUGCCACCAGCAAUCUUGGCAUCUCAUAGGAACACUGGUUUCGAGUCAUGGUGACUUCACUCUGAUCCAGCUCCCUGAUCAUAUGCCAGGGAAAGCAGCGUAAGAUGACCCACGUACGUGAACCCCUGCUACUCGAGGGGGAGUCCCAGAUGGAAUUCUGGGCUCCUGGCUUUUGUCUUGCCUACGCUGGCUGUUGUGACAAUUUGGGGACUGAACCAAUGGAUGGAAGAUCUCUCAUUUUUUAUUUCUGUCUCUCUCUCUCUCUCUCUCUCUCUCUCUAUCUUUCUCUAACAAUUUCAAAUAAGUAACUAACUCUUAAAAAAACUUAUUGAGACCUCAAUUAUUAACUUCUUGUGACAUAAGAUUCAUUUCAUUUUGUGUAUUGGAUUUUGCAUGUAUUAAGAAAACGUCUGAAGGUAGUAUUCAGUAAUGUGUUCAAUUCCCGAGUCCAGCGUUUAUUACUGGGCUGACAUCUGCAAGACACAAUGACUUUGCAGGUCAGUCUUACUCCAAGGCCUGUGUUGCUCCUGAGAAACUAUGCAAUCUUACUUCAGAAAGACUAAGCACUGAACUUUGAAAAGUACCAAUCAGUAAAUGGGUUUUCUCUUUCUGUUGAGAAAAUCCUCACUAUUGAGUCCAGGAUGAGCCAAAUCCAUCUAAACAUAAUAGACUCGGGUUUCACUAGUU